rnacentral:rRNA from 1 species
UACCAGCACCCCGAGUGGUCGGGACGAUUAUUGGGCCUAAAGCAUCCGUAGCCGGUUCUGCAAGUCCCCCGUUAAAUCCACCUGCUUAACAGAUGGGCUGCGGAAGAUACUAUAGAGCUAGGAGGCGGGAGAGGCAAGCGGUACUCGAUGGGUAGGGGUAAAAUCCGUUGAUCCAUUGAAGACCACCAGUGGCGAAGGCGGCUUGCCAGAACGCACUCGACGGUGAGGGAUGAAAGCUGGGGGAGCAAACCGG